rnacentral:tRNA from 1 species
UCGUUUCCAGGAGGGUUCGGUCCAGCCGGUUCGCGCCCGGCCCGGCCGGAUGGACGGCCGGCAGAUCGCCCGGUUCGAGCGGGACGUGC